rnacentral:lncRNA from 1 species
CUCCUUUCCUUUCAAGGCUGCCAUCAAUAAUUCACUCUGCUCGCUCGUAUCUAUGACACCUGCACCUUUUUGUCUUUCCUGCACUCACUUUAGAGCUCGUAAGAUGAAAAGUGCUGACGAGGCGGGUUUAAGAGAGCUUGUUAACGGAUGAUAAAAGAGGAACGUAUUAGUUAGUCUGUGGAGGUGGAGCUGCACCCAAGGUGACUUUCACUGCUCAUUUCAACAGGAUCACAAAGGCCUGCACGGGAAACUUUAAACCCAAACAUCCUACACACUUUCAUUCUUUUUGUGAAAGUUGUUUUUUUUAUAUUAUUUCAUUAUAUUUUGAAUUUAUCAUCAUGUCGGGAGUGAGCAGUGAUCAACUGCACAAAUCAACCCUGAAUGUCUACUCGAAUCUGAUGGAGCAGUUCAACCCAGGUCUACAGAAACUCUUUGCACUGGGGACCAGUUACGUCCAGGCUUUUCAAGCCCUGGCUGUUUGCAGUGAAGCCUACUUCAGUGCUGUGGCUAAGAUGGGAGAGCAGGC